UACGUAGGGUGCAAGCGUUGUCCGGAAUUACUGGGCGUAAAGCGCGUGUAGGCGGUUGUCAAAGUCGGGUGUGAAAGCCUUGAGCUUAACUCAAGAAAUGCACUCGAUACUUGGUGACUAGAGGACCGGAGAGGAUAGUGGAAUUCCCAGUGUAGUGGUGAAAUACGUAGAGAUUGGGAAGAACACCAGUGGCGAAGGCGGCUAUCUGGACGGUUUCUGACGCUAAGACGCGAAAGCGUGGGGAGCAAACAGG
rnacentral:rRNA from 1 species